AAAAAUCUUACUCUCAUCUUUAUGGUUUUUUUGCCCACCUGCAGGCUUGCAGGGUGGCCCCCGCUCUGACUUUGACAUGGCCUAUGAGCGUGGCCGGAUCUCCGUGUCCCUGCAGGAAGAGGCGUCUGGGGGGUCCCUGGCAGCCCCCGCUCGGACCCCCACUCAGGAGCCUCGUGAGCAGCCGGCAGGCGCCUGUGAAUACAGCUACUGUGAGGAUGAGUCGGCCACCGGUGGCUGCCCUUUCGGGCCCUACCAGGGCCGCCAGACCAGCAGCAUCUUCGAGGCAGCAAAGCGGGAGCUGGCCAAGCUGAUGCGGAUUGAGGUGGGCAGCCAAGGGGAGCUGGGCACAGGGCGCAAGGGAGGCCUGGCUGCACCCAUCUCAACCCCCCUCCCUCCCCAGGACCCCUCCCUCCUGAACAGCCGAGUCUUGCUGCACCACGCCAAAGCCGGCACCAUCAUUGCCCGCCAGGGAGACCAGGACGUGAGCCUGCACUUCGUGCUCUGGGGCUGCCUACACGUGUACCAGCGCAUGAUCGACAAGGCGGAGGACGUGUGCCUGUUCGUAGCGCAGCCCGGGGAACUGGUGGGGCAGCUGGCGGUGCUCACUGGCGAACCUCUCAUCUUCACACUGCGAGCCCAACGCGACUGCACCUUCCUUCGGAUCUCCAAGU
rnacentral:sRNA from 1 species